AGAGUUUGAUCCUGGCUCAGAAUCAACGCUGGCGGCGUGCCUAACACAUGCAAGUCGAACGAGAAAGGGACUUCGGUCCUGAGUAUAGUGGCGCACGGGUGAGUAACACGUGACUAAUCUACCCUCGAGUGGGGAAUAACUGAGAGAAAUCUUAGCUAAUACCGCAUAACACUUACGAGUCAAAGCAGCAAUGCGCUUGGGGAGGAGGUCGCGGCCGAUUAGCUAGUUGGCGGGGUAAUGGCCCACCAAGGCGAUGAUCGGUAUCCGGCCUGAGAGGGCGCACGGACACACUGGAACUGAAACACGGUCCAGACUCCUACGGGAGGCAGCAGUGGGGAAUUUUGCGCAAUGGGGGAAACCCUGACGCAGCAACGCCGCGUGGAGGAUGAAGUAUCUCGGUACGUAAACUCCUUUCGAUGGGGAAGAUAAUGACGGUACC
rnacentral:rRNA from 1 species